rnacentral:rRNA from 1 species
AUUGAACGCUGGCGGCAGGCCUAACACAUGCAAGUCGAGCGGAUGAAGGGAGCUUGCUCCUGGAUUCAGCGGCGGACGGGUGAGUAAUGCCUAGGAAUCUGCCUGGUAGUGGGGGAUAACGUCCGGAAACGGGCGCUAAUACCGCAUACGUCCUGAGGGAGAAAGUGGGGGAUCUUCGGACCUCACGCUAUCAGAUGAGCCUAGGUCGGAUUAGCUAGUUGGUGGGGUAAAGGCCUACCAAGGCGACGAUCCGUAACUGGUCUGAGAGGAUGAUCAGUCACACUGGAACUGAGACACGGUCCAGACUCCUACGGGAGGCAGCAGUGGGGAAUAUUGGACAAUGGGCGAAAGCCUGAUCCAGCCAUGGCGCGUGUGUGAAGAAGGUCUUCGGAUUGUAAAGCACUUUAAGUUGGGAGGAAGGGCAGUAAGUUAAUACCUUGCUGUUUUGACGUUACCAACAGAAUAAGCACCGGCUAACUUCGUG